UGGGGAAUUUUGCACAAUGGGGGAAACCCUGAUGCAGCGACGCCGCGUGAUUUAGAAGGCCUUCGGGUUGUAAAAAUCUUUUCUAUGGGAAGAAAAUGACAGUACCAUAGGAAUAAGGACCGGCUAAUGACGUGCCAGCAGCCGCGGUAAUACGUAAGGUCCGAGCGUUGUCCGGAAUCAUUGGGCGUAAAGGGUACGUAGGCGGGUAAGCAAGUUAGAAGUGAAAUCCUAUAGCUCAACUAUAGUAAGCUUUUAAAACUGCUCAUCUUGAGGUAUGGAAGGGAAAGUGGAAUUCCUGGUGUAGCGGUGAAAUGCGCAGAUAUUAGGAGGAAUACCGGUGGCGAAGGCGACUUUCUGGCCAUAACCUGACGCUGAGGUACGAAAGCGUGGGUAGCAAACAGG
rnacentral:rRNA from 1 species